GCUUUGGUGGGGUAGUGGUAACCUGGGUCGUUGCCAUCAUUAAGUAAUUUGCGGGUUCGACCCGCCGGGGGUUCGAUUCCCUCCCAAAGCA